rnacentral:rRNA from 1 species
CCUACGGGGGGCAGCAGUGGGGGAUAUUGCACAAUGGGGGGAACCCUGAUGCAGCGACGCCGCGUGGGUGAAGGAGUAUUUCGGUAUGUAAAGCCCUAUCGGCAGGGAAGAAAUUGGACGGUACCUGACUAAGAAGCCCCGGCUAACUACGUGCCAGCAGCCGCGGUAAUACGUAGGGGGCAAGCGUUAGCCGGAUUCACUGGGUGUAAAGGGAGCGUAGACGGCCAUGCAAGCCAGGGGUGAAAGCCCGGGGCCCAACCCCGGGACUGCCCUUGGAACUGCAUGGCUGGAGGGCGGGAGGGGCAGGCGGAAUUCCUGGUGUAGCGGUGAAAUGCGUAGAUAUCAGGAGGAACACCGGCGGCGAAGGCGGCCUGCUGGACCGCGACUGACGUUGAGGCUCGAAAGCGUGGGGAGCGAACAGGAUUAGAUACCCCAGUAGUC